rnacentral:rRNA from 1 species
GAUGAACGCUGGCGGCGUGCCUAAUACAUGCAAGUCGAGCGAACAGACGAGGAGCUUGCUCCUCUGACGUUAGCGGCGGACGGGUGAGUAACACGUGGAUAACCUACCUAUAAGACUGGGAUAACUUCGGGAAACCGGAGCUAAUACCGGAUAAUAUAUUGAACCGCAUGGUUCAAUAGUGAAAGACGGUUUUGCUGUCACUUAUAGAUGGAUCCGCGCCGCAUUAGCUAGUUGGUAAGGUAACGGCUUACCAAGGCAACGAUGCGUAGCCGACCUGAGAGGGUGAUCGGCCACACGUGAACUGAGACACGGUCCAGACUCCUACGGGAGGCAGCAGUAGGGAAUCUUCCGCAAGGGGCGAAAGCCUGACGGAGCAACGCCGCGUGAGUGAUGAAGGUCUUCGGAUCGUAAAACUCUGUUAUUAGGGAAGAACAAAUGUGUAAGUAACUAUGCACGUCUGGACGGUACCUAAGCAGAAAGCCACGGCUAACUACGU